GACAGAGGCCUCGAGCGUUAGGCGGAAUCACUGGGCUUAAAGCGUGUGUAGGCGGGCCCGUCAGUGUCUUGUGAAAUCCCACGGCUCAACCGUGGAACCGCUGGGCAUACUGCGGGUCUUGGGCCAACUAGGGGCAGCCGGAACAAGCGGUGGAGCGGUGAAAUGCGUAGAUAUCGGAAGGAACGCCGGUGGCGAAAGCGGUCCGCUGGACCUCUACUGACGCUGAGGCGCGAAAGCCAGGGGAGCAAACGGG
rnacentral:rRNA from 1 species